rnacentral:rRNA from 1 species
UACGUAGGAGGCGAGCGUUGUCCGGAAUUACUGGGCGUAAAGAGCGCGUAGGCGGCGCUGUACGACCGCUGUGAAAGCCCCCGGCUCAACUGGGGAGGUCAGCGGUAACGGCAGUGCUACGAGUGCAGGAGAGGGAAGUGGAACUCCGGGAGUAGCGGUGAAAUGCGUAGAUACCCGGGAGGAAACACCAGUGGCGAAGG